rnacentral:ncRNA from 1 species
GAAAGCCGUAUGAGGGAAAACCUCACGUAUGGUUUGAUGAGGGGAAAGAGGUCUUGCGACCUCCGACCUACUCUAC